CAGUAGCCACGGGAAUACAGAGGGUGCGAGCGUUAAUCGGAUUUACUGGGCGUAAAGCGUGCGUAGGCGGCUUCUUAAGUCGGAUGUGAAAUCCCUGAGCUUAACUUAGGAAUUGCAUUCGAUACUGGGAAGCUAGAGUAUGGGAGAGGAUGGUAGAAUUCCAGGUGUAGCGGUGAAAUGCGUAGAGAUCUGGAGGAAUACCGAUGGCGAAGGCAGCCAUCUGGCCUAAUACUGACGCUGAGGUACGAAAGCAUGGGGAGCAAACAGGAUUAGAUACCCCUGUAGUCCCUGUCUCUUUACA
rnacentral:rRNA from 1 species